ACCUGUAGAAUGUGGGAGGGAGUUUUUUCAAUGUAAACAGAAAGAGAACAUGAAUGCUAUUGGCUGGGAAAUUCGCUCCGAGUGUGUUGAUUGGCCAUAUUAGCGGAGGAAACUUGAUAAGGGCGGUGCUAAAACGACAUGGCGGCCAUAUUGAAUUUCAUAUUGACAGUUGUUCCGAAGAUUUUCCAUCCGCGGUACAAGAAAGUAAAUGGUUUUAGUGGAAUAAUCAGCGAUUUCAGGACAUUUGUCCGUAACCUUUAAUGGUUGUGUUUCAAUCAAGACAUGGACGAAGAUGAACGACAGAGGAAAAUAGAAGCUGGAAGAGCAAAGAAAUCCACCAACACGCAGCGCAGUCAGUUGCUUGCUAGCUUCCGACAGAAAAGGGCGAAAGGGGACGGUCAAGUCGCGCAGAAAAAGACGCAGAAGAGGAAGGGCCCGUCUCCAACGCAGAAUGACGGCCCAGCGCAAGGUCGCCCCCUAGGGAUGGACCUCCAGACAGACGGCAGCGCCACACAGCAGGACGACAUGUGUAACAAUGAGGAACCACAACGUUUUGGUGAGACAGAUCCGAGCCAACUUCCAGAGUUCCAGGGGCACUUGGAGCAACACCAUCCCCAGGAGGGAAGCAGUGUCCUGGGCGAGCAGGCGGUCGGUGGGCAGCCUGAGGAGAUGGAGGUUGUGGGAGACGAGGUCCUAGUGGUUCACACUGGAAAAGAUCAACUCAAGGUACUUAACCGUACAUACAUACAGUUUAUUUAAUCAAUAAGGCCUGAGGAGGUGUGGUAUAUGGCCAAUAUACCACGGCUAAGGAUACAGUGCCUGGAUACAGCUCUUAGCUGUGGUAUAUUGGCCAUAUACCACAAACCCCCAAGGCGCCUUAUUAUAAACUGGUUACUAACAUAAUUAGCCAAGUAAAACAUUUUUUAAUUUUUAAUUGUCAUACACAUGGUAUACGGUCUGGUAUACCACGUCUUUCAGACAAUCAACAUUCAGUCUUUGUCUAUAAAUGAGGAAAUAUGGAAAGCUUUUCCUUUUGAAGAGGAUGGAUGGGAGAGAAACGGAUUGAAUUCGAUUUCCAUUAUUGCUGGAGAAAUUACAUAAUCGUGUUAUAAAUACGUACCAGGAGAAAUGGGUUAGCUGUGUGUUCAUAUGCAUGCCCUGCAACAAAAGUUACACACACACACUUCACUUGUGUGUUGU
rnacentral:lncRNA from 1 species